UAACAGAUGGAAACGUCUGCUAAUACCGGAUACUCAGCCUUGUGGGCAUCCACGAAGGUUGGAAAGCUCCGGCGGUCAAGGAUGGACUCGCGUCCUAUCAGCUAGUUGGUGGGGUAAUGGCCUACCAAGGCGACGACGGGUAGCCGGCCUGAGAGGGCGACCGGCCACAUUGGGGACUGAGAUACGGCCCAGACUCCUACGGGGAGGCAGCAGUGGGAAUAUUGCACAAUGGGCGCAAGCCUGAUGCAGCAACGCCGCGUGCGGGAUGACGGCCUUCGGGUUGUAAACCGCUUUCAGCAGGGACGAAGCGCAAGUGACGGUACCUGCAGAAGAAGCACCGGCUAACUACGUGCCAGCAGCCGCGGUGAUACGUAGGGUGCGAGCGUUGUCCGGAUUUAUUGGGCGUAAAGAGCUUGUAGGCGGUUAGUCGCGUCGUAAGUGCAAACUCAGGGCUUAACCCUGAGCCUGCUUUCGAUACGGGCUGACUAGAGGAAGGUAGGGGAG
rnacentral:rRNA from 1 species